CAGCCGCCGCGGUAAUACGGAGGGUGCAAGCGUUAAUCGGAAUUACUGGGCGUAAAGCGCACGCAGGCGGUCUGUCAAGUCAGAUGUGAAAUCCCCGGGCUUAACCUGGGAACUGCAUUUGAAACUGGCAGGCUAGAGUCUUGUAGAGGGGGGUAGAAUUCCAGGUGUAGCGGUGAAAUGCGUAGAGAUCUGGAGGAAUACCGAUGGCGAAGGCAGCCAUCUGGCCUAAUACUGACGCUGAGGUACGAAAGCAUGGGGAGCAAACAGGAUUAGAUACCCCAGUAGUCCCUGUCUCUUAUAC
rnacentral:rRNA from 1 species